rnacentral:rRNA from 1 species
UACAGGGGGGGCAAGCGUUGUUCGGAAUUACUGGGCGUAAAGGGCUCGUAGGCGGUUUGUCGCGUCGGGAGUGAAAUCCACUGGCUUAACUGGUGGCUUGCUUUCGAUACGGGCAGACUGGAGGUAUGCAGGGGAGAACGGAAUUCCUGGUGUAGCGGUGAAAUGCGCAGAUAUCAGGAGGAACACCGGUGGCGAAGGCAGCUCGCUGGGACGGUACUGACGCUGAGGCGCGAAAGCGUGGGGAGCGAACAGG